CCUGGUUGAUCCUGCCAGUAGUCAUAUGCUUGUCUUAAAGAUUAAGCCAUGCAUGUCUAAGUAUAAGCAUUUAUACCGCGAGACUGCGAACGGCUCAUUAAAACAGUUAUGGUUUAUUUGAUGGUUCCUUUGCUACUUGGAUAACCGUAGUAAUUCUAGAGCUAAUACAUGCACGAAGGGGCGACUUACGAAGCCCUGUAUUUAUUAGAUUAAAGCCAACCACCUCCGGGUGUUCGUGGUGAAUCAUAGUAACUUCUCGGAUCGCCGGCUCUACGCCAGCGACGUGUCAUUCAAAUUUCUGCCCUAUCAGCUUUAGAUGGUAGGAUAUGGGCCUACCAUGGCGGUGACGGGUAACGGAGAAUUAGGGUUCGAUUCCGGAGAGGGAGCCUGAGAAACGGCUACCACUUCUAAGGAAGGCAGCAGGCGCGCAAAUUACCCAAUCCUGACUCAGGGAGGUAGUGACAAGAAAUAACAAUAAACCGGCUUAUGCCGGUUUAAUUGGAAUGAGUACAAUUUAAACAUCUUAACGAGGAACAAUUGGAGGGCAAGUCUGGUGCCAGCAGCCGCGGUAAUUCCAGCUCCAAUAGCGUAUACUAAAGUUGUUGCAGUUAAAAAGCUCGUAGUUGGAUUUCUGUGGGGACGGAGCGGCCGGUCGCAACUCGCGAUUCGAGCUAGCGCUUUCCCUACAUCCUGCCGCGAACCGUGCUACCAUUAGUUUGGUGGCGCCGGGGAUCGGCUCGUUUACUUUGAGAAAAAUAGAGUGUUCAAAGCAGGCCACACGCCUUGAAUAAGUUAGCAUGGAAUAAUAACUAAGGACUUCGGUUCUAUUUUGUUGGUGUUCGGGACUGAAGUAAUGAUUGAUAGGGACAGUUGGGGCGGUCUGUAUUCCAAAGCGAGAGGUGAAAUUCUUAGACCUUCGGAAGACAAACAGCUGCGAAAGCGUUCCGCAAGGAUGUUCCCUUUGAUCAAGAACGAAAGUUGGGGGAUCGAAG
rnacentral:rRNA from 1 species